rnacentral:rRNA from 1 species
GAUCAUGGCUCAGGACGAACGCUGGCGGCGUGCCUAAUACAUGCAAGUCGUACGCUUCUUUUUCCACCGGAGCUUGCUCCACCGGAAAAAGAAGAGUGGCGAACGGGUGAGUAACACGUGGGUAACCUGCCCAUCAGAAGGGGAUAACACUUGGAAACAGGUGCUAAUACCGUAUAACAAUCGAAACCGCAUGGUUUUGAUUUGAAAGGCGCUUUCGGGUGUCGCUGAUGGAUGGACCCGCGGUGCAUUAGCUAGUUGGUGAGGUAACGGCUCACCAAGGCCACGAUGCAUAGCCGACCUGAGAGGGUGAUCGGCCACAUUGGGACUGAGACACGGCCCAAACUCCUACGGGAGGCAGCAGUAGGGAAUCUUCGGCAAUGGACGAAAGUCUGACCGAGCAACGCCGCGUGAGUGAAGAAGGUUUUCGGAUCGUAAAACUCUGUUGUUAGAGAAGGAACAAGGAUGAGAGGUAACUGUUCUCCCCUGACGGUUAACAAAGCCG